rnacentral:rRNA from 1 species
AUUGAACGCUGGCGGCAGGCCUAACACAUGCAAGUCGAGCGAGCGGCGGACGGGUGAGUAAUGUCUGGGAAACUGCCUGAUGGAGGGGGAUAACUACUGGAAACGGUAGCUAAUACCGCAUACCAUCAGAUGUGCCCAGAUGGGAUUAGCUCGUGGGUGGGGUAAUGGCUGACCUAGGCGACGAUCCCUAGCUGGUCUGAGAGGAUGAUCAGCCAAACUGGAACUGAGACACGGUCCAGACUCCGACGGGAGGCAGCAGUGGGGAAUAUUGCACAAUGGGCGCAAGCCUGAUGCAGCCAUGCCGCGUGUAUGAAGAAGGCCUUAGGGUUGUAAAGUACUUUCAGCGAGGAGGCGUUACCCACAGAAGAAGCACCGGCUAACUCCGUGCCAGCAGCCGCGGUAAUAC